CCUACGGGCGGCAGCAGUGGGGAAUAUUGCACAAUGGGCGCAAGCCUGAUGCAGCCAUGCCGCGUGUGUGAAGAAGGCCUUCGGGUUGUAAAGCACUUUCAGCGGGGAGGAAGGCGGUGAGGUUAAUAACCUCAUCGAUUGACGUUACGCGCAGAAGAAGCACCGGCUAACUCCGUGCCAGCAGCCGCGGUAAUACGGAGGGUGCAAGCGUUAAUCGGAAUUACUGGGCGUAAAGCGCACGCAGGCGGUCUGUCAAGUCGGAUGUGAAAUCCCCGGGCUCAACCUGGGAACUGCAUUCGAAACUGGCAGGCUAGAGUCUUGUAGAGGGGGGUAGAAUUCCAGGUGUAGCGGUGAAAUGCGUAGAGAUCUGGAGGAAUACCGGUGGCGAAGGCGGCCCCCUGGACAAAGACUGACGCUCAGGUGCGAAAGCGUGGGGAGCAAACAGGAUUAGAUACCCUUGUAGUC
rnacentral:rRNA from 1 species